AGGAGCUGGAUGAGAAGAAACUCUCACGUCCGGUUCUGUAGUAGAGAUGGAAUUCUACUACAGAU
rnacentral:ncRNA from 1 species